rnacentral:rRNA from 1 species
UACAGAGGUCCCAAGCGUUGUUCGGAUUUACUGGGCGUAAAGGGUGCGUAGGCGGCUUUGUAAGUCAGUGGUGAAAUAUGGCAGCUCAACUGUCAAGGUGCCAUUGAUACUGCAGAGCUUGAGUACAGAUGAGGUAGGCGGAAUUGACGGUGUAGCGGUGAAAUGCUUAGAUAUCGUCAAGAACACCUAUAGCGAAGGCAGCUUACUAGGCUGUAACUGACGCUGAGGCACGAAAGUGUGGGGAUCAAACAGG